GGGGAUAUAGCUCAGUUGGUAGAGUGCUUGCCUUGCAUGCACAAGGCCCUGGGUUCAAUCCCCAGCACCUCA
rnacentral:tRNA from 1 species